UCCGUAGGUGAACCUGCGGAAGGAUCAUUAAUGAAUUUUGAAAGGGGUUGUAGCUGGCCUUCAAGGAGGCAUGUGCACGCCCCGAUCAUCCAUUUCACACCUGUGCACACUUUGUAGGUUGGUUUUUAAUGGUUUCCUCUCGUGAGAGGGGUGCCRUUUUGACCUAUCCUAUGUUUUAUCAUACACACUGUCAGUAUCAGAAUGUCAUUGCGUAUAACGCAUCUUAUACAACUUUCAGCAACGGAUCUCUUGGCUCUCGCAUCGAUGAAGAACGCAGCGAAAUGCGAUAAGUAAUGUGAAUUGCAGAAUUCAGUGAAUCAUCGAAUCUUUGAACGCACCUUGCGCUCCUUGGUAUUCCGAGGAGCAUGCCUGUUUGAGUGUCAUGGAAUUCUCAAUCCCUCUUGCUUUUUGGUGAGAUGGGGUUGGACUUGGAGGUUUUAAUUGCUGGAAUCAUGUCCAUUGAUUCUGGCUCCUCUCAAAUGCRUUAGCUUUGGAACCUUUUGUGGAUCGGCUUCUCAGUGUGAUAAUUGUCUACGCUGUGGGCUGUGAAGCUAAUCAUGCCUUCAUGGUGUGUGGGGUUCUGCUUCUAAUUGUCCUUUCUGUGGGACAAUCUUCUUGACCUCUGACCUCAAAUCAGGUAGGAGUACCCGCUGAACUUAAGCAUAUCAAACG
rnacentral:rRNA from 1 species